ACGAAGCUUCCGAGGUUAAUAGCCUACGGGGUGACGGUACCCCCAGAAGAACGCCCCGGCUAACUACGUGCCAGCAGCCGCGGUAAUACGUAGGGGGCGAGCGUUGUCCGGAAUCAUUGGGCGUAAAGCGCGUGUAGGCGGCUUGGUAAGUCUGGUGUGAAACCUUGGGGCUCAACCCCAAGCCUGCACUGGAUACUGCCUGGCUUGAGUCCGGGAGGGGAGAGCGGAAUUCCUAGUGUAGCGGUGAAAUGCGCAGAUAUUAGGAAGAACACCGGUGGCGAAGGCGGCUCUCUGGAACGGUACUGACGCUGAGACGCGAAAGCGGUGGGGAGCGAACAGGAUUAGAUACCCUGGUAGUCCACGCCGUAAACGAUGGGCACUAGAUGUGGGCGGUGUCGACUCCGUCCGUGUCGAAGCUAACGCAUUAAGUCGCCCCGCCGUGGGGAGUACGGCCGCAAGGACUA
rnacentral:rRNA from 1 species